ensembl:lncRNA
UGUACUUCCAACUUCUUAAUAUCAUUACAGUUCUACUGUCCUGCAUAUCCUACUAUUCUGUUUUUUAUAGAGUUUCUCUAUUACUAUAAGAUAUUAUUAAAGUUAUUCAUGUGUGUGUAUGAGGAAGAGAGCGUGUGUGUGUAUCGGUUUACUGUACUUCCAACUUCUUAAUAUCAUUACAGUUCUACUGUCCUGCAUAUCCUACUAUUCUGUUUUUUAUAGAGUUUCUCUAUUACUAUAAGAUAUUAUUAAAGUUAUUCAUGUGUGUGUAUGAGAAAGAGAGAGUGUGUGUGUAUGUUGUGUCUACUUGCCCGCCCUUGACUGUACGAGCGUGUGUGUGUGUGUGUGUGUGUGUGUUUUUAGCACUCCUCAGCUCGUACACUUCUUUUUUGACUUUUUUUGACUAUUACUGCUCUUAAAUUGCUCGUAAUUCCAAUCUGUCAAUGUCCGCCUAAUCCCGCUUCUAUGUGUCUAGGUGCCGGUGCCCGUCGUCAGUCCCCUCUCUCUCCGUUACUGGACCUGGAUCAGGGUUUGGACCUGGAUCUGGACACUCAUUACCAGCUUGUGCAUCUCACUGCUGAUAUCAUGAUGCUACUUAACUAUCUUCGCAGCACCCCCCCUAAGAAUGGAGAUCCGGGGUUCCCCCCUCUUCUUCGGUACAGAAUCUGCCCCACGAACGUGCGUGUUGACGCCUCUACACAGUCAGACCCAGAACCCCCCUCCAGCUUCCAAUCCGAGGAUGAUGAUGUUGUCUUCUCCGAUCCGGGCCCCUG